UAGGGGAGCGUUCUGUAGGCUGAUGAAGGUGCAUUGAGAAGUGUGCUGGAGGUAUCAGAAGUGCGAAUGCUGACAUGAGUAACGAUAAUGUGGGUGAAAAGCCCACACGCCGGAAGUCCCAGGUUUCCUGCACGACGUUAAUCGGAGCAGGGUGAGUCGGCCCCUAAGGCGAGGCUGAAGAGCGUAGUCGAUGGGAACCAGGUUAAUAUUCCUGGACUUUUUAUAAGUGGUGAAGUGGGGACGAAGAAGGCUAGGUGAGCCAGGCGUUGGUUGUCCUGGUACUUGCAUGUAGGGGGGAAGACUUGGCAAAUCCGGUUUUCCAUAACUCUGAGGUGCGAAGUGGUUCUGACCUUUUGGUACAGAGAAGUCAUUGAUGCCCGGCUUCCAGGAAAAGCUGCUAGCCAUAACUUAUAGAGAACCGUACCGCAAACCGACACAGGUGGACAGGUAGAGAAUACUAAGGCGCUUGAGAGAACUCGGGUGAAGGAACUAGGCAAAAUGGUACCGUAACU
rnacentral:rRNA from 1 species